UACGAAGGGUGCAAGCAUUAAUCGGAUUUAUUGGGCGUAAAGGGCGCGUAGGCGGGAUUGUAAGUCAGAUGUGAAAUCCCGGGGGCUCAACCCCCGGAACUGCAUUUGAAACUACAUUUCUUGAGGGUAGAAGGAGAAAACGGAAUUCCACAAGUAGCGGUGAAAUGCGUAGAUAUGUGGAAGAACACCGGUGGCGAAGGCGGUUUUCUAUUUUAUUCCUGACGCUAAAGCGCGAAAGCUAGGGGAGCAAACAGG
rnacentral:rRNA from 1 species